GACGUUUGAUACCGCUCCGGUGGUUAGAGCGUCCGCCUCGGAUGCGGGAGGUCGUGGGAUCGAUUCAUGGUCGAGUCA